GUUUCUCAUAUGAGAUCCCGCACUGCCCUGACUCUGCCACUUACCUUCAAUAUAUCUGCCCACCCAGUGAGGAGGAGUUCAUGCAAAUCCUGACAUCAUCAUCAUAUAUUUAUCUCUCUGCACUAAGAGGUAACUGGAUUUGAAUCUGUCAGUCAUGGCGUCUUUAACGAGGUUCCCUGUAGUUCUGAUGGUUAUAUACUUAACAGGUGUUGAUACACAGACUCUGACUGAGUCUGAACCAGCAGUUAAAAAGCCUGGAGAAUCACACAGACUGACAUGUACAGCCUCUGGGUUCACAUUCAGUAGCUAUCGUAUGAACUGGGUCAGACAGGCUCCUGGGAAGGGACUGGAGUGGGUCGCAUAUAUUACAGCAGUCACUGGGACUCACACUUACUACUCACAAUCUGUUCAGGGCAGAUUCACCAUCUCCAGAGACAACGGCAAGAACCAGGUGUAUUUACAGAUGAACAGCCUGAAAGCUGAAGACACGGCUGUGUACUACUGUGCCAGAGACUCACAGUGAUGGGGGCUGUGGGGAAGCCGUACAAAUACUAC